GAGCUCAGUUAGUAGAGCAUGAGACUCUUAAUCUCGGGUCGUGGGUUCGAGCCCCACGUGGGGCA